rnacentral:tRNA from 1 species
ACUAUGGCUCAGGCGGUAGAGCGUCGCCUUGGUAAGGCGGAGGUCACGGGUUCGAGUCCCGUUAGU